rnacentral:rRNA from 1 species
GCCUAACUAUAACACAACAAUUAAAUUACCAAUUGUUCGCCAAAUAACUACGAGUAAAAACUUAAAAUUUAAAAGACUUGACGGUACUUCACACCGACCUAGAGGAGCCUGUUUAACAACCGAUACCCCACGAUCAACCCGACCCCCCCUAGCCCACAGUCUAUAUACCGCCGUCGCCAGCCUACCUUAUGAAAGAAAAAAAGUAAGCCAAAUAGCCACACACUAAUACGACAGGUCGAGGUGUAACUUAUGGGGGGGACUGAAUGGGCUACAUUUUCUAAUACAGAAAAUACGGAUAAACCAUGAAACAAGAAACUGAAGGAGGAUUUAGCAGUAUAUUAGGAACAACAUACCUAGUAGAAACCCGCAAUGAAGUGCGUACACACCGCCCGUCAUCCCUGUCAAUUUAACCACCACAUAUAUAAUAAAACACCCACCAUCCAAGCAGGGCAAGUCGUAACAUGGUAAGCGUACUGGAAAGUGCGCUUAGAAA